rnacentral:rRNA from 1 species
AUUGAACGCUGGCGGCAGGCCUAACACAUGCAAGUCGAGCGGAUGAAGGGAGCUUGCUCCUGGAUUCAGCGGCGGACGGGUGAGUAAUGCCUAGGAAUCUGCCUGGUAGUGGGGGAUAACGUCCGGAAACGGGCGCUAAUACCGCAUACGUCCUGAGGGAGAAAGUGGGGGAUCUUCGGACCUCACGCUAUCAGAUGAGCCUAGGUCGGAUUAGCUAGUUGGUGGGGUAAAGGCCUACCAAGGCGACGAUCCGUAACUGGUCUGAGAGGAUGAUCAGUCACACUGGAACUGAGACACGGUCCAGACUCCUACGGGAGGCAGCAGUGGGGAAUAUUGGACAAUGGGCGAAAUCCUGAUCCAGCCAUGCCGCGUGUGUGAAGAAGGUCUUCGGAUUGUAAAGCACUUUAAGUUGGGGGGAAGGGCAGUAAGUUAAUACCUUGCUGUUUUGACGUUACCAACAGAAUAAGCACCGGCUAACUUCGUG